UGUAUUUUUUUUCUUUAUGGGUUUUGAUGAAGUCUUAGGUUUUCAUUGUUGCUUAAUUUUGUUUAUUUAGAAUCUGGUAGUUUCUUUAAUGGGAGCUAAAUUAUCUAAUCCUUUUAUCAACAAUCUUGCGAGAUUUUGGAGAAGGGCGGUUUCCAAAUGUUUCAGUGAAUGCUCUCUACUUAGGUUCAGGGUACAAAUUUCCCUACAAACUUGGGCUAAACCUAGUGACCAGCUUUUAAUCUUUGAAUUGAAUCUCUGGCUUGUCUUCAGAAUUCCAGAAUGGUGGGACAGAAAAGCUUUAUAAAGGGAGCGUCAGGCGUAGAUUUGCCUUUGUCCGGGUUUUGGCAAAUAUACAAGGGUUUGGCUUUUGAAUUAGCUUAGAAGCUGGGACUGUACAUACUCAAUCUAGACUCAGGUCUACAGGUAUUACCUGUCCUCUAUCCCACAUUGUUUUCCUUCUUAAACCUUAGCUUGAAGAAAGCAGGAGGUGUCCUUAAUGGAGUUUUCCAAGUAUUCCCUCUCUCAGAUACCAUUGUUCUAUAAACCUGGAAUCCAUUUCAAAAAACUGCCUCUCAAACAUGUGGGGUACCCCCCCAAUUUUCUCGGGAUGCUUAUCUUCAUUAAAUCAUGAGUACUGAUUUCGAAAUAUGGAUAUGUGGUUUUUUUUUUGGUUUUUUUUUUGUUUGUUUGUUUUGUUUUUUAUCUUAUUUGCCUGGGAUAUAGCUUUCUUUUCCCUCCUUUUCAAGGGAAAGGGUACUGGACUUUUAAGUGAAACCUCGUUGGUAUUUUCUUUGGCCCCUCGUUUUUCUUUCUUCUCUCGAAUUUUCAUUGAGAUGUCUCUGUACUUUGCUUGUCAGUUAUCUUUGUUCCUUUUAAAUAAAGGGCUUUUAAAUGGACUUAUUGCUCCCAGCGUGGGCUCCUCUCUCUAAAUGUUAGAAAAUUGUGCCAUCUACCCGCUAUUCUAAGUACUGUCACACUCAGAGACCUCCAAAGACCUUCAGUCCCGACUUCAAUCCUGCUGUGUCAAAGGGCGGGCUGCAAGUAAGAGGCAAAGGGGUGACGUGGAGUUUUGCAGAUUUCAAACUGCAAUCACGCUCUGGAACGCAAAAGUCAUAUACAAGUUGCGCUGGAACUGUGCCUUUGAUGGUUAUCCCUAACUUGUUCAAAACACAGAAUUCCUUACAAUCACUAAUGAAUUUUCAGAGCUUUUCAUAGCUUCUUUUUCUAGGUAAUACCAACUGCCAACUAAAGUCACAGUGCCAAUUCUAAACACUGACAAGUGUACGUGAGAUGACAAUGGAAAAAGAUCUUACUAUCACGGGAGAACUCAUAGUUUGUCGUGUUCGGUUUUUUUGUUGUUGGGUUUUUUUUUUUUUUUUUUAAAUGACUCGCAGCAUUUUCAGCUUUCUCUGGGAAAGUUCAGAUUUGAUGAACUGGUUAGCAGAUGACAGAUGUUGGUUUUCUAGGGGGGAAAAGACACACAGGGAAAAAAAAUAAUGCCAUCUUCCUUUAUCUAGGUAUUUCUCUCCACUUUGGAGAGGAAGGGAACACAUCUACUUAGUUCAAUUUUUAACAUGUUACAUAUACGAAAUGGGAACCCUCUAAUUGAAGAACAGAAAGGGUAGCAGAAAAAAAAAAUUCUGACUUCUUUUUGAAUGACCUAAUAUGAAUUAGCAGUUUAGAUUUUAUUGCGAUUCUACAAUUCUUUUCUCCCCCUCCAUAUUUGCAAAGAUUUUCAAAUAUCAAUUUCUACUUAGUGGGAGGGGGGAGAAGUAAGUUUAUGGGUUUACAGUUUAUGAUUUUUAUUAAUUUCACACUAUCCCAGAAAUAGUUUUAAGCAACAUACAAUUACAUCUAUAUUGCUCUUUGGAUAAAUUCCAAAUAAUCCAACAAUCAAUUAGUUUUGAUCUUUCAAUACUUGUUGCUAAAAAGUGUAAAAUUAUAAACCCUAUCACCUCUCUUUCUAAAUUGUUACAGUAGAUAGUUUGUAUCUACUUUGUGAGUGCUUCGGCUAACAUUAGCCUAUUUCUUUUCUAUAUCAAAUGAGACAAUAUAUGUAAAUCACUCUGCAGAUCUUAAAGCCUUAUACAAAUGUUAGCUAUUCUCUCCCCUUCCCCUCCAGUCAACUAUGACUUACUUUAUUGUGAUUAUCCUUCUGGUUUUUAUUUAUUAAUUUCAUUUCUAUUGAAUUAUUAUUCUGCUCGGCAUCUCUCUGUUUCCACUUUUUUUUUUUAGUUUGUUUGAUAUUAAUAUGAUAAAUGAUUGUUUAAUAUCCAUGGCAAUGCAUUAGCUUUUAAAGGUAAAAACUCACGUUUUUCAUAAUUAGCAGUCUUCUUUUUUUGACUUUCUGCCUGUCAGUCUCUUUCCCUUCUCUCCUUCCUUCCUACUUCUGAGGAGUUUAGGAUAUAAUUUCUCUUGUUGAACAGAAAUUGAUCCCCAGUCAAAAAUAUCUUCUUUCCACUUUUCCUGGAUGUCUCUAGGCAAAAUUUCUGUACUUUAGUCUGAAUUUGGCCAAAGUUUUAGAGGUAGAAUACAUAAAAAUUUCUAGGAACUAACAGAAGUACUGAUACUAUUUUCCCCGUGUGAUCAGGAGAGAACCCGGCCAUGGAGCCAUUGAAGGAGGAAGCCCUGAUGUGAGUGUUACAAAAAGGAACUCCCUUAUUAAUUAAUAUAAUCCGUCUUUCCCUUCAACAUAUUUUUUUUUCAAACUAGAGAGGUGUUUUCAACUGAGGUCGACACAGACUCUUCACACACCAGGUUUUUCUUUCCUCCUACACCAUUCAGUCCCAGACAACAAGUUACUGCCUCAUUUCCAGCCACAUUGCUAAUUAAAAGUCCCAUGACUUGGGAAAUGAAGAGUAUCAAAACCUAAAUUAUUGUGGACUUCAUGAAAUAGGGAAGAAAGGAAGGAAGGAAGGAAGGAAGAAAGAAAGAAAAGGAGGGAAAGGAGGAAGGGAGAGACGAUGGAAGGAAAGAUGAAGGGAAAAAAAGAGCAGAAAUGGAGUUGGGUAAGGGUAUGGGGGUGGGGAGAUACACUGAUUUUCUUGCAAAGCGAUAUCCUUUCUCAAAAAACAAGUCUUACUUUCAAAGCAGUUAUAAUUCACAAGACAGGAGAAAAGGGUAAUACAAAGUAGAAAAGUUUUCUUAGAUUUUAUUUAUUUCUCAUUGCAUUAGUGAAACAUUACAAAGAAAAAUACUAUCAUAUGCAUCCAAUGUUUCUUUAAUUGUGAUGAAUGACUGGGGAAAUUUUUCUAUUCACUAAUUUCAUAUUGUUCCCUUUUCCUCAAAACGUUAAAAAAUAAUUUUGUUCUAUCAGUGUCACUAAUAUUGUGGUUUGCUGAUGUGUUACUUGAAACACAACCUCACUAGGAGUAGCAUUAGCCUCUAUCAACCAAACUACUUCAGGCAAUCUCUCUCUCUGGCUCCAUUUGUCUCUCUGAUUUUUCUCCAUAUGUUUGAUUUCUAGUUUCAAUGAAAACAUUAAAAAAAAAAAAUAGAAAGGACCAAUGCCUUGCUUAGCCCAACUGCCUUUUUAUGUCAAACCCAGAACUCUGUCAAGUCAAUCCUCCUUCCUUUUUGUUGCAUCAGAGACUAAUGUUCCUUCAGUUGACAUUUAAAGAAAACAUGAAACUACAUCUUUUUUCUCUCCUCCUUGGAAGAUGUAAUUUAUGACUAUGCUUAGAAUCAUGAAUUUAAAAAAUAUAUUUUAAGAGCCUUUCUAAUAUCUUUUUUUCUUUUUCCCUCUUUCUGUCCUUGUACCUUAAAAAAAAAAAAAAAAAAAACUCUUUGCUAAGUAAUACUAUUUCCAGAAAUAAAAUCAAUUUAUCACCAUUUGUUGCUUGAUUUUGGCCCAGUUAUCUUGUAUAUAUUUGAUGACAAACUGGAGAAAAUGAGAUUAAGAUAUUCAUAAUAUUCUGUGUACUGCCUCUCCUUUCCUGAAUGCUCCAACCUAGUUGUUCCUACUACAUUACAGCAAAUAUAAACAUUUCUGCUCAUUUGUUCUUAGGCCUCCAAGGCUUUCUUUAAAUGUUUCCUUUAAAAUUAGCUCCCUCUCUCCAUAUUUCUCCUUACUUAUUUGUAUUAGAAAGUGUGGGUCUCAAACCGAUUAUCUCAUAUCUUCUUUGCAAAAGUAUGCUCUCUCUUCAGCCUUUGGGUCAGGCAUUGAUCUUUAAGCAAUGUAACAAAUAGGAGGGUUAAUUUUCCCUCAUUAGCAUCUCCAUAGCAUGGUCUCCUCACAUGGAUCUUGCCCCUUGCCUUUGCUUUAGCUCCCAAGCGUCUGUCUCCUCUUUUACUGGCUCCUGGAUUAUUUUUUCUCCCUCUCCUAGUCUACCCCCUGCAUACACACAGAAUACACACAUGUACACACAUCCCAUCAUGACAUGAGACACUCCACUAUUUCUAUUGGAUCUCCAUCUUCUCACCGUCUUGGCUCACUAUGUCCAUCUCUUCCCUCCACCCUCUCUUAUCUCACUUUUUGUCCCUGUCCCUCCCACCCCCUCACCCCCCAUCUCUUGUUUUCCAUCUCAUUUGAAAAUGUGUUGUUCUGCUGUCUAUGAAUUAGUUUAUUUUUUCUUCUUUUUGUACUUCGUUUACUUCUUAAUCUUUUUUUUCCCCCUGAGUCUUUCAUUCAGUUGUAGGAAAAGAAAAAGAGGUUAGUCGGCACCAAGAUGGCAAAGUUCAGCAUGAAAAAAAAAAAAAAAAAAAACGAAAACCUUCCAACUACCUACAACAGGGCUCAGUGCUUUGUGAUAGCGAAAAGAAACAAAAAUGAAAAGCAAAUUGCAUUUGAAGCUAAAGUGUGAGAGUGUCUUGGCGCGUAUGUAUAUCUGUGUGUAUUUUUAAAGAUUUCUUUGAACUGCUUUUGUGCUGACUUGGCAGAGACGCUUGCCAAUGCUAGUCACGGUUUUAGGAACUUGGAGUUAACCUCUUAUAUCGAAUGAAUCUUUUCAUUUAGAGACCAAUAAAUCUCAAUCUCUAGCUACCUUUUGUAGGAUAGGCUAGGCUUAUGAAGGCAAGACUGAAGCUUAUAAUAAAGAAGAGAUAAAGUUUGCCAAAGUUUUUUUUUUUCCUUGCCAUUCUAGCAUAGUAAACUCUCCAGUAAAUAAAAGUUUGGGGAGAUGGCAGCCCUUGGGAAGCUGGGAAUCUUUGCAUUAUUUCUAAUAAGCCUAGUUACUGAAAUAGAGUCUUCAAAAGUUCAGGCACUAAAAUUAUUUAUUGUUUUCCAACAAGUCAUUAUUUUGUCUAGUUGAUGAAUUAGGUUGGGGACAAUCAAGUCACCAAUGUGGAGCUUUAUCAGCGGUUUGGAGAGGAUGAAGCUUAAGAGGAGAUAAUACUAUAAACAGGAAAGAUCAUAGCGUCCGGAGGAAUGAAUUUGGGGGAAAACUUUCACAUGUUUGUGUUUAGUCAAUGAAGACAUACAUGUUAACAAUGACAACAAAAUGAGGGUAGCUAGAUAGCACAGUGAAAUACAGCCCUGAAAUCAGGAGGACCUGAGUUCAGAUCCUGUGUCAGACAUUUAAUUCUUCCUAGUUUCAUGACCCUGACCAAACAACCCCAAUUACCUCACUAAAGUAAAAAGUAACUAUUUAAACAAACAAACAAAAAAAAAAAAAAAACCUCAAUGACAAUAAAAGAAAGUAUACUUUGGCUCUUGUCUGAAAUCAGGCAGGUUACUUUGAAAGUAUAUAUUUUAACUGCACUGUUAAUUUUGAUGGGCUUCUUGACCAUUUGAAAUUUAACCUUUACCCAAUCUUUUCAUGGAGUUCUGAUUACCAAAUUAAGUUUCUGAUUUAUUGUCUCUUUUCACACUUUUAGUUUAUUUCCUGAUGAUCUUUCAUUGAGUCUAAUUCCCUUCCUUUCUAUCCCCCUAUCAUAUUUUUAGGUUUUUACUACCUCGACACAAGGCUUAAUUUCUUCCUGUUUUUACUAGUGAUUCAUUUAUUCCCUUUAUCUUUCCUCCUGUUUAACAUAAGAGCUAUUCGAUGGUCUCUAUGUAGUUCCUCUUUAAAAGUUAUUAAUUAUUGCUACAAGGCAAAAUAUUCUUAACUAAUAACAAAGUUGUAAAUUAUCAACUUCUUUCAAAUAUUUCUCUUGUCAACUCUGAUUGAUUUGAUUAAUAUUCCACUCAAUGAAAUAAUUUCAGCUGCACUUUAUAAUCAGCCAUACCCUAUACUCCAGAAUGUAUAGCAAUGCUCCUUGGAAGACAUGGUUCUCCUCACCAAAGUAUUCCAGCUGAACUAUAUAUACUUUUGUCACUUAGAGUUCAAGCUCGAAGCAAAAGACAGAGAAUAUGACAACAAUAAGACUUGGAGAAUAUAGUGGAAAAAGAAAUAAUUAAGUCGGAAAUGUAGUUGGCCGUUUGUGGUGAGGAGAAGGAUGGUGAUGAUGAUGAUGAUGAUGGAUGAUAAUUAUCAUUAUUAUUAUCAUUGUAAACUUUCUUGAGGGUUCUCUAUUAGACUAAAGAAAAUGAACCUCAUUUUUUUCUCAGACUGGGGAAGAUUAUGAAAAGAAAAAUUUCAGGAACAAAAAGAAUACUUCAGUACCUUAAACAUUUCUCUUUUUCCUAUGUAUGCUUCCCAGUCAUCUUUUCUAAGAAAUAACCUGCCAGCUUCCUGCUUAGGUCAUUCGGCAGUGGAUGUGGAGGACAGCGGGAAAAGGUAGUGUGUGAGUAAGGGAAAGAAAGGUACUAGAAAAGGAAGGGUAGGGGUAGAGUAUAGAACGAGGGCCGUGGGACUCCUAGGGGAGUGGAUAAAAUAUUUUAAAGGAUCCUUUUUGCAUUCCAUCAUCGCAUCCAGAAUUCAGGACUUGAAAUUAUCAAUACCCGCUGCCUCCCAACACUUCUUGAGUUUUAAUCUUAAUUAUAUUAUUAAGUGAAGUACUGCACUGUCAAAGAAUUGAACAUGAUUUAUGAUGUCUGACUAUUAAACGAUCGAUUGUGAAUAUCGCUACUAUCAUCUAUCAAUAUUCACAGUUCGAGGCUACUUCUUGCUACAGACGAGUAUUAUUGGUAAUGAAGAAAUGAUAGACUACAGGAAGAGAAUAUUUAUUCUCCAUAGGACAUUCUUCCAGGUGCUUUGGAAAACGAAUGCAGGGGUCCCGGCACACCCAAGCGCUCGGUGAAGAUAGUCCAGUCGUCCUAUAGUUGCAGUUAGUUAUCACAUGAGUGAUAGGACCAACAGAUUGUCUGACUGGGACGGGAGGGGAGUGGAGAGGAGGCACACCAGCUUUUAGAAGAAAGCUCGAAGUUAUUUCUGCAGUUCGACAACAGAAAGGAUGACAGUAGCGACAUUUUUUCUACCUCCUUAGGUAGAUACUCCUUAUGCCUGGAGUGGGGGGGGGGAAACAUAACGAGGGUCGUCUUUUUUAAUUUGGGGACAGCAAAUCGGACGGUAAGGUGGCGGCGGAAUUAGGCUUUAUACUCCUCGAACAGUUAUGCAGACCAUGCCUGUAUACUUGGGCUCUGAUAGUUCAUUUCUGGAAUAAAGUUCUCCAUUCCAUACCUCUCUCUCCCCCGCCCCCCACCCCCAAUCUCUGUCCCCAAAAGUGGAGCUUUAAACUGCUUCGGGUUGCAUCGCACACGGUGGACUCGGAUGCUAUAGCUGCGCUGCGUUUAGGCCUGGAUGACAGUAUAUUUGUGCGCGUGAAACCUUUUGUCUGAGCUUUCGGAGACAGUUUUUUUUUUUUUUUUUUUUUUCAAACAUAGCGGAGAACAGUUCAGGGUCACUGACGAUUGCCAGCAUCCGUGGAAUAAAGGGGAUGGGGGUGGAGGCGUGGGGGCGGGAGCAAGCAGAAAGCUCAGAGACAAAAAUCUCUCCUUACCUAGCACAAGUGCGUGGUAGUUGUAAUAUCGAAAUCGCAUCCCCUCGCGCCCCGCACUCUCCCCCCCCCCCCCGCUCCACGCUCCGCCCUCCCCCCCCCCAAGCCAUUCCUCUCCUCCCAGAAAAACCAAGCUGAAAUUAAUGCCGCCGACACCCUAUCCCCUUCAUACCCCACCAAGAGCUCUUGCUCUUUUCCCAGGAAUCGCGGCAUAAAGGAAAGGAUUGGAGCAGGAGCAGUGGAUCCAGCCUGACUAGGCUGUUCCUACCCUAAAACCGAAGCUAGCCGUUGGGUGAAUUAACAACCGAUCUUGGGAAUCCUACUCUGAACCAGCAAGAUCAUUGUAACCAGCAACUCCAUUUAUUAUACUAAAAGAUGUAACAAAAACAAGCAAGAUCCGGGAAAAGAGAAUUGAAAACCAGAUGAAUACAAAGACACUUUCUGCAGUGGCAUUCCCUGGAGGAUGGAAGCAAUAGUUAUUAGAAAACAUUACAUGAGUGUUAAUAAAGUUCCCCUUGAAUAAAUGUUCGAAGAGUUAGUUUCAGGGAAGACCAACCAAGGUGGUUAAAUAAAGAUAUACCUGCAGUGAAAUAAUUUAAUAAUUAAAGAGAAAUCACUUAUCAGUGAGAAUUUGUACUGUGUAUGGAAAAAGUGAGAGAGGCAGAAUGGGUUUCAAACACCUAAAUCAGCCUACUCAAAAUGAAAUACAUUUUUCUUCUAGUGAUUUAUUCUUGGGUUAACCAUCUGAACCGUCUGUGUUAAGAAUUGAAUUAACCACAAUAAUGUCAUCAAAUAAACUCAGAACUUCUAUAUAA